AGAGUUUGAUCAUGGCUCAGGACGAACGCUGGCGGCAUGCCUAAUACAUGCAAGUCGAGCGAACAGAGGAAGUGCUUGCACUUCUGACGUUAGCGGCGAACGGGUGAGUAACACGUAAGGAAUCUACCUAUAAGCGGGGGAUAACAUUCGGAAACGGGUGCUAAUACCGCAUAAUAUCUUCUUCCGCAUGGAAGAAGAUUGAAAGACGGCUCUGCUGUCACUUAUAGAUGACCUUGCGGUGCAUUAGUUAGUUGGUGGGGUAAUGGCCUACCAAGACGAUGAUGCAUAGCCGACCUGAGAGGGUGAUCGGCCACAUUGGGACUGAGACACGGCCCAAACUCCUACGGGAGGCAGCAGUAGGGAAUCUUCCGCAAUGGGCGAAAGCCUGACGGAGCAAUGCCGCGUGAGUGAAGAAGGCCUUCGGGUCGUAAAACUCUGUUAUAAGAGAAGAACAAAUUGUAGAGUAACUGCUACAGUCUUGACGGUAUCUUAUCAGAAAGCCACGGCUAACUACGUGCCAGCAGCCGCGGUAAUACGUAGGUGGCAAGCGUUGUCCGGAUUUAUUGGGCGUAAAGGGAGCGCAGGUGGUUUCUUAAGUCUGAUGUGAAAGCCCACGGCUUAACCGUGGAGGGUCAUUGGAAACUGGGAAACUUGAGUACAGAAGAGGAAUGUGGAACUCCAUGUGUAGCGGUGGAAUGCGUAGAUAUAUGGAAGAACACCAGUGGCGAAGGCGACAUUCUGGUCUGUUACUGACACUGAGGCUCGAAAGCGUGGGGAGCAGACAGGAUUAGAUACCCUGGUAGUCC
rnacentral:rRNA from 1 species